CUCGGAACCGCCGGUCAUAAGCUCAGAAGAGCUCCGUGAAUUAUAUUAAGACAACUCCAAGUGACUGAGUUUGAAUCUGAGAUCUAAUACAAUAAAAGACAGAAGAAACUAAACGUGAGUGUGUGUCCAAGGAAACUUUCUCCGGCCUGUCAGAGAAAAGGCUGAAGUUUUCGACGAUCUACAUCGCCCAUCAUCCUAGAGCAACAACUGAUUCGCCGUUCCAUAGUCGAGUCGCCACCAAAACGGCCAGGAAAAAUUUAAAGUUACAGAUGCGGUGGUGUUGUAGUUGCUGCUUGAACAGUAGAGCGGCGGUUGUUCGCCUCUGAAUGUGAGAUAGAAGUCUAUAGCCUUUAUGAGCUGUGGUGGAACUGUCACCGGUGGUUUGAC